UGGGAAUAUUGGACAAUGGGGCAACCCUGAUCCAGCCAUGCCGCGUGUGUGAAGAAGGCCUUUUGGUUGUAAAGCACUUUAAAGCAGGGAGGAGAGGCUAAUGGUUAAUACCCAUUAGAUUAGACGUUACCUGCAGAAUAAGCACCGGCUAACUCUGUGCCAGCAGCCGCGGUAAUACAGAGGGUGCGAGCGUUAAUCGGAAUUACUGGGCGUAAAGCGAGUGUAGGUGGCUCAUUAAGUCACAUGUGAAAUCCCCGGGCUUAACCUGGGAACUGCAUGUGAUACUGGUGGUGCUAGAAUAUGUGAGAGGGAAGUAGAAUUCCCAGGUGGUAGCGGUGAAAUGCGUAGAGAUCUGGAGGAAAUACCGAUGGCGAAGGCAGCUUCCUGGCAUAAUAUUGACACUGAGAUUCGAAAGCGUGGGUAGCAAAACAGGAUUAGAUACCCUGGUAGUCCACGCCGUAAAACGAUGUCUACUAGCCGUUGGGGUCCUUGAGACUUUAGUGGCGCAG
rnacentral:rRNA from 1 species